rnacentral:rRNA from 1 species
GAUGAACGCUGGCGGCGUGCCUAAUACAUGCAAGUCGAGCGAACAGACGAGGAGCUUGCUCCUCUGACGUUAGCGGCGGACGGGUGAGUAACACGUGGAUAACCUACCUAUAAGACUGGGAUAACUUCGGGAAACCGGAGCUAAUACCGGAUAAUAUAUUGAACCGCAUGGUUCAAUAGUGAAAGACGGUUUUGCUGUCACUUAUAGAUGGAUCCGCGCCGCAUUAGCUAGUUGGUAAGGUAACGGCUUACCAAGGCAACGAUGCGUAGCCGACCUGAGAGGGUGAUAGGCCAAACUGGAACUGAGACACGGUACAGACACCUACGGGAGGCAGCAGUAGGGAAUAUUCCGCAAUGGGCGAAAGCCUGACGGAGCAACGCCGCGUGAGUGAUGAAGGUCUUCGGAUCGUAAAACUCUGUUAUUAGGGAAGAACAAAUGUGUAAGUAACUAUGCACGUCUUGACGGUACCUAAUCAGAAAGCCACGGCUAACUACGUG